GACGAACCGAGCGAACGUUGUUCGGAAUUACUGGGCGUAAAGCGCACGUAGGCGGCUUUGUAAGUUAGAGGUGAAAGCCCGGGGCUCAACCCCGGAAUUGCCUUUAAGACUGCAUCGCUUGAAUCCGGGAGAGGUGAGUGGAAUUCCGAGUGUAGAGGUGAAAUUCGUAGAUAUUCGGAAGAACACCAGUGGCGAAGGCGGCUCACUGGCCCGGUACUGACGCUGAGGUGCGAAAGCGUGGGGAGCAAACAGG
rnacentral:rRNA from 1 species